CGUUUCGGCGGCACAGGUAGUCGGACGCCACCAAGGCGGGAGAAAUCGCACGACUGUGAUCAGGGAUUCUACUUCCUACCUUGGCCGUGACUGUGUGGAUCUCUGCUUCCACGUGGGCAGGUAAGCACACGUCCUGCUCACAGCUGCCCCGCCCCGCCUCGCCUCACCUUCGAUCAGUUUGCCGGCGAGGGAAGGAAAUGCAGGUAAGCACACGAGGAUGCAUCACCUGUCGGCAUUACCUGGCCUGUCACGUGACGGGGGAGAGUGAGUGGGUAGGUGCGUCUGUCUUUCCUUCUCAGUAUUCCUUGAAAAAUAAGAUUAAUCAUUGGUGGUUCAUUUAAUGGUGCGCUUCUCUCAUAUUGCAGUUCGUAUUUUUUUUUAAUGAUGUUUGGCCUGUUAUUUUGUGGUUGAGUUGUUGGUUUUACAGAACUUUAGUAAUUACAUAUGGUUAUUUAAUUUGGCUGCGUUGUAAUUGUAACGGUGUGCGUCUUGCAAUAAGGUUUUCUUCUUUUUUUUUUUUCUCGUCUUUUUCCAUAUUGAUAUCAGUAAUGGGAUUCGUAAUUUAAAUUGUAAAGAAUAAAUGUAAGCAAACCCUUCUUUUACUUUAUCGUGGUAUCUAAGUUGCUCCAGCAUAUCUUUCUUUAUUUUCUAAGGCUUCCAGUCCUCUUCUGUCUCUAUUGUUAUUAAUGU